UUUUACGGGAGGCGCCAGUGGGGAAUAUUGCACAAUGGGGGAAACCAUGAUGCAGCGCCGCCCGUUGAGUGAAGAAGUUUUUGGGUAUAAAAACUCUUCAACAGGAAGAUAAUGACG
rnacentral:rRNA from 1 species